rnacentral:rRNA from 1 species
UACGUAGGUGGCGAGCGUUGUCCGGAUUUACUGGGCGUAAAGAGCGCGCAGGCGGUCGUGCAAGUCGCGUGUGAAAGCCCCCGGCUCAACUGGGGAGGGUCACGCGAUACUGCUCGACUCGAAGGCAGGAGAGGGAGGUGGAAUUCCCGGUGUAGUGGUGAAAUGCGUAGAUAUCGGGAGGAACACCAGUGGCGAAGGCGGCUCUCUGGGGUAUUUCUGACGCUGAGGCACGAAAGCCAGGGGAGCGAACGGG